UGGCGGCAGGCCUAACACAUGCAAGUCGAACGGUAGCACAGAGAGCUUGCUCUCGGGUGACGAGUGGCGGACGGGUGAGUAAUGUCUGGGAAACUGCCUGAUGGAGGGGGAUAACUACUGGAAACGGUAGCUAAUACCGCAUAACGUCGCAAGACCAAAGAGGGGGGGGGACCUUCGGGGCCUCUUGCCAUCGGAUGUGCCCCAGAUGGGAUUAGCUAGCAGGUGGGGUAAUGGCUCACCUAGGCGACGAUCCCUAGCUGGUCUGAGAGGAUGACCAGCCACACUGGAACUGAGACACGGUCCAGACUCCUACGGGAGGCAGCAGUGGGGAAUAUUGCACAAUGGGCGCAAGCCUGAUGCAGCCAUGCCGCGUGUAUGAAGAAGGCCUUCGGGUUGUAAAGUACUUUCAGCGAGGAGGAAGGCAUUGUGGCUAAUAACCGCAGUGAUUGACGUUACUCGCAGAAGAAGCACCGGCUAACUCCGUG
rnacentral:rRNA from 1 species